GCGCCGGUAGUGUAGUGGUUAUCACUGUAGCUUGCCAAGCUAUAGACUCGGGUUCAAUUCCCGACCGGCGCA
rfam:Tncultured methanogenic archaeon RC-I complete genome